UCUCAGGAUCUGCCAGAUGUCUGCCAGAGAGUGGGGAAGAGAAGGGACCGGCACAGGGCCCCCCUCCAUCCCCUACCUAUUAGUGAAGAUCCGUUCGGCAGUGUAGUUGUCGACAUUAUAGUUGCGCAGGCACUUUGGUGACUAUAGAGAACCUCAGGCCUAUCACACGUCCCCGUGACGGCGACUUUGCAUUCGAAUGUCUGCCCUAUCAACUUAUGAUGCCACUUCUGCGCCUACCAUGGUGACCACGGGUAACGGGGAAUCAGGGUUCGAUUCCGGAAAGGGAACCUGAGAAACGGCUACCACAUCCAAGGAAGGCAUCAGGUGCGCAAAUUAGUGAAGA